GUUCAGGAUGAAGAUCUUGACCGGCAGGCCGUACUGAACCGCACACGACAUCUCCUGGAUGCACAUCUGGAUCGAGGCGUCGCCGGCGAUGUCGAUGAC
rnacentral:sRNA from 1 species